GCGGGAUUAGUACAGUGGCAGUAUGCAUCCUUCCCAAGGAUGAGACGCCAGUCCGAUUCUGGUAUCCCGCUCAA
rnacentral:tRNA from 2 species